rnacentral:tRNA from 1 species
GGAGAAGUAUCGAAGUGGUCGCAACGAGCCGCACUCGAAAUGCGGUUGUCUGCAAAACAGGCACAUGGGUUCGAAUCCCAUCUUCUCCGCCA